ensembl:lncRNA
UUUUUUUUUUUCAGUCAUUCUGGUUAAAAUGUCUUCAAGUAGCUCCAAAUAACAUAAAGGCCUAGCUUCAAGACAGCUGUCUAGAGUGUUUUUAUAGUCAGUUGUCAGAAUUGAGAUCUUGGAGGGACCAAUUAUCCCCGACCAGGUAGGUCAGAUGAACUGUGCCUUAGAAGUGCCUGCACAGGGAGUCAAUGGUGCCUCUGCUUCUGAUUUCAAUGCCAAGGCUUUGGCACAAUGAUAAUGGUCCACUGUGUCUCAUCUGUAGGUUGAUUGUUAUUUCUUAUGAAAAGUUUGGCAAAAAGAAAAGGUGUAGGUUUUGAUAUUGUGACAAUUUUUAGAAGUAUUUGUGCAGGGCACUACAUUGAAUUUUUAAAAUGCUCUCUGGAUCAUCAUCUUCAGGUAACCUAGUUUAAGAAAUCUGGAUUAUAUUCAAGGGCCUGGCUACACUUACACAGAAAAUAAUAAAGAACAUACUAUAUUUGCCCUCAAUAUGUAUUCUAUAUAUUGAGAGAAUAUAUAAUGGAACACACAGAACCAUGAAGAAAUAAAAAUAAAUGUAAAAACUUUCAAGGACAAGACUUGGCUCAAAUAUGUGGUACAUGAAACUUGGAGUACUCCAGGCCGCAUCCCCAGCCCUCAGGGAGCAAACCACUACCCCCUGCACACAUCCACAGGGAAUUCGCACCAUUUAAAGGGCUGAUUUUCUUAUGCAAGCUAGAUGCUGAUAGAACUCUGCUGCAUGGGAAAGUAAGAUCAGGCCAAGGCAGGGGAUUGUGCUAGUAUUUGGCUUUGGACACCAAAGAAGAGCUAACAGAACUGGGAAGGAUGACUGGAGCCCUUACUACAUCUAAAGAAAAAGAGUCUGCUGUGUUAUAAGAGAAAAAAAAAUGUGGAGGGGAAAAAAAAAAGAGCUUACAGGAUUUGAAAACAGUAUGAAAAUUUAUUUUAAAAAUUAAUAAACAGACAGAGGGACAUCACAAAGAAUGAAAGUAGAGACUCUUGUGUGUCAAUACAGGUGCAGGUACACACACAUAUACACAGAGUGAAGCUGUUUAGAGGGCUGUUAUGCCCAAGUGCUGUUUGUGCACAUUUGAAGUGUCACUGCUCUGUAUCCCUCCAAACUUUUUAAAUGCACUGGAGAACUUUUCUGAAUGGCCCUUAGAGUAGCUUGUCCAAAAAGGAUUUCUCAUUAGACGCCUUUAAAUUGCCAUAGCUCUGAGAUGGGAUACACUGUGACUGACACAUUAAAUGGAUAAUUUAAAGAAAUAUUAGGGAAAUUCAGAAAUAUAAUUUAUGGUAGAUUCCUCCCUGUAAUGUAACCAAACUAUUAAAUUUCUUCAUGAAAGUUCUGAAGCACAUAAUUUUCAGUACUGAAAUUGAGGGGCUGCCAAGUGCCUGAGAAAUAUGGGUGGCAGGGAGAUUAAAGUGAAUGGCAGCCUGCAGGAUGACAGCUGCUGGAGUGAUAUCUUCACCACCUGUGGAACCUGCUCCUGCUCUGACAAGCAUUAAUGCUCAUUCCUAAUACUUAGUAAUCUCUAAGCUACAUGUAUAGUUAAAAACUGACACAGCUGAAAAUUUGUCUCAGCUGCACCCAAGCAAUGCCCACAUCAAAGGAUAGAGCACAAAAAUAUCCUCCAUUUACACAAUAAGAAUUGGUUACAUAAUAGCUUAACCAAACAUUGUGAGAUGAACAGGGAUGACAGAGCCAUAGAGGGAUGUAUGUGGCUUAUUCCUUGUGUCCUGAAGCUUUCACUGUGUCUUGUUGAACCAGCUGUUUUUAUACUGUCCAUUCAACGUUAUCUUGGUCCUCUAAAAUUUAUGAAGACAUACCUACCAACCACAGCAACAAAUUAGGAGGAGAUUAGAGAACUCCUUAUCUACUGAAAAGAUCCAUGUUUAAGUAAGCUGCCCUAGCUUCUCAUAAUCUAAGUUUAUUCGGACACCCAUAAGGGCUCAUAAACACAGGUCAUUUUUCCCAACUCGUUUAAAGCGUUGUUUCUUUAAGAGAAUUGUGCUUUUCUUCAUGCUGGGUACUGGUUCACAAGCUGGACAGAGUCUUCUGUAAUUCAGCCCAGCAGAGCAUGGGAUUCCUUGCAAUGACACAAUGAAAUCCAUCUGCUGAGGAUGGGACCUAAAAUGUGCCAGCAGCUCAGAGGAUGGAAAAUCAGUGGCCAAAACUUUACAUCCCUCCAUCAGAAGAGCAGAUCUGCUUAUCUAUCCACAGCUCUGACCCACACUCUGAACUCAUCCACCGGGAUCUACCUCCAGUCAGUGGAAUGAGGCAGGCACGCCCAAAGGGACUUGAUUCCUCCUAAGUUGGCAUGAAGCACCUAUGGAAUCUCUUAUCCAGGCACCUGGAUGUCCAUUUGCAUAUCUCUCCAUGGACAACACCAGGGAAUCAUAGAAUGAUUGGGUUAGAAGGGACUUUCAAAAAUCAUCCUCUUUCACUAGACCAGCUUGCUCAAAGGCCCAUACAGUCUGGCUCUGAACACCUCCAGAAAUGGAGCAUCCACAGAUUCUCUGGGCAGCCUCUCCCAAUGUAUGAUACAUUCAGGUGACCUGUAUACACACAUCACAUCAAAACACACGGAAAAGCCCAGACCCUGAUCUCACUUUGGUGAGGUCAAAGGCAUUUCAGACUGAGUAUCUCUUCCAAAUAGACCUAUCUCACAGUCCAUGCUGGGGGACAGGGUCUGAACGGCCACCUGUCAUGGCUAGGUGCUGUGACAGUCACCAGUUAUCUACCUACCAGCUUCAUCAUCUCUCCUUUCCCUGUGAAAUUCAUUACUGGAAACCUUUUUCCCCAGAGUGCUUUAUUUUCAGAUUUGCCUUCGUCUUGCUUGCAUUAUUUUUCUUUUAAGAUGAAGAUAUUAUUAUUAUUAUUAUUCAGCUUUCAUUUCCAAGGCACUGGUCAUUUGUCACAAAGUAUGCAUGUCUAUAAAUAUUGCCAUACCGCUGUCACCCUUACUUGUCUGGCAGAGGGUUUUCUGACACAGACUGAUGGCACUGGAGCUGCCUGGGACCACCACUGCCAGUGUAUUUGAGCAUAACUACUGACCUGUUGACAAGGUCAGUGGAAGAAGAACCAGAGCAGUGAUGGGUACCAAAACAGGGUAGUUCCCAAUUAAUGCCAGUAUCCUUGCUCAUCCAUUUAAGUAGCUUCACCAGGACUUGUUCCUCCAGGUGCUUUGCAGUCACCAGCAGCAUUGGUAAUCAGAUGUGCUUCUCAGAUCUGUGGGAAGCACCAUGCCAGAAGCAUUCCUCAGAGCAAGAGAGUUUAUUUAUCUUAUUCUAGGCAGAUCAAUGUUUUGUUGAAUCUGGCUGCAACUUUCAUAGGAUAAUUAAUGCACAUAUCUUCUAUUAAUGACUUAAUUUCAAUAAGUAUCUGUAUCUGCCCCUAAAGUGGCAUGUCAGUUACAUAGAUUUGUCAUCAAUAGUUAAAUUAAUCCUGCCCUCAAAUUUAUGAUUCAUGUGCUACCAUAGAAAACCAAAUACUAAGUUUAAUUAGCUCCUGGACUAAUUACUUAAAUUUAUUUUUAAAAAAUCCUCUGAAGCAUUCCUAGCCAAGCAUUAGUGAGACUACUGCUGGUUAGAAAGGUACUAAUGAGCCACCAGCAGAAAAUAAAGUCAACAGGAAUGCAAUGCCUGGGCAAGCAGCCUCCCUCCAGCACAAUACCAGACUACCAUGGCCCGUGAUGUCUAUCAGAUUGAUAACUAUUAAAUAAUGACUAAAUGCACUACUUUUAUUGAAUGCUUCUUUUUUUAUCAGCCUCAGAAGGACCAAAGAGAUGUUGGGAUGUGGAAGCCUCAAAUUUGAAGUAAUCCAAAGCAAAAAUUACACUGGAACCAAGACUGCAUGCUCAAACCAGGAAUGAAUAUCUAAAUGUACUGGAAGUGGUAAUGCUUAUCUGGUAUUUUUUAAUUAAUUGUACUUUUAAGUAGUAUUUCAAUGCUCUGCAAACUCCCAAAGUAGUUAACUGUGGCUCUUUUUGAAGUGCUGGGCAUGUCUGAUGAGAGUUACAGAUUUUCUCCCCUUUGACCUGAAUCUUUAGGCUGAAACAUGAGUACUUGUCUCUACAGCAGGUGAAGGGGAGCCCUCCAAACAGCUUCAAAUUCACCUGACUCCAGAAGCUGGGGCUGAGAAGCAACCAACAAACCUCUGGUUCCCAGAAUCCCCCAGUAAGCCUAGAGGAAGUAUCUUUACCCAGGUCUGUGUAGAGGUGACAAGUGUCAGAGACAGACCCUACACCAGUGGCUUGCAGAAAAGCAGAAAACAUCCUCUACCAGUGCUGUGAAAUCAGCUGGUCCUAAGAUACAAAUGCCAUCAGUGCAAUGCUUAAGGUAAGCUGCCAUUUAUAGAACUAAUUCCAGCCAGCUCCUAUCAGAGCACAAACCCUCCCAGCAGAGCUG